rnacentral:rRNA from 1 species
AUUGAACGCUGGCGGAAUGCUUUACACAUGCAAGUCGAACGGUAGAGGGGGCAACCCCUCGAGAGUGGCGAACGGGUGAGUAAUAUAUCGGAACGUGCCCAGUCGUGGGGGAUAACGUAGCGAAAGUUACGCUAAUACCGCAUACGAUCUACGGAUGAAAGCGGGGGACCUUCGGGCCUCGCGCGAUUGGAGCGGCCGAUAUCAGAUUAGGUAGUUGGUAGGGUAAAAGCCUACCAAGCCUGCGAUCUGUAGCUGGUCUGAGAGGACGACCAGCCACACUGGAACUGAGACACGGUCCAGACUCCUACGGGAGGCAGCAGUGGGGAAUUUUGGACAAUGGGGGAAACCCUGAUCCAGCCAUGCCGCGUGAGUGAAGAAGGCCU